AGACUAGAGUAAUCGACAAUAGAAAUGCUGAUCGUCAGUGCCAAGAUCAACCAGUUAACCUGGUCAUAUUUGUCAGACACAUCGUUGGAUUCACCGGGAGUUUACUGGUCUUUUUUCCCUCAGUCUCUGAUGGAAGGUCUCCCCUCACAUCUAAAGACAUGAGGUUUAUGUGGAUUCGUGUCUUUUAAUUGUGUCCUUCACAGAGCAUAAUGACACAUUAUGGGCAAUUCAGAGAUACCAGUUAAUCUUGCUAUUAGGAGUGUAACAGUAGGUAUUCCUACCGAAAAUUUUCGGUAUGGGUUUUUCGGAUUGGUACGUAUAUGUACUGAAUGAACGAAGCAAAUGCGUAACCUUUCUGCAUUUGUGUUUCCCUGAGCAACAUUUAGAAGGGGCAGAUGAAGCUGCGCCAAUAGACGUGCAUAGUUUCAGUAUUUGUAUGUACAGUUAAUUUUUGAAAUGUGCGUUUUAAUUGAUAUUUUAUUUUUAUUUCUUUGAUAGAAUAUUUUUAUUUAAAUUUUUUCUUUUUAUUAGUAUGUUGCAGCAGUAUUGAGACUCGUUAAAGAAAUACGUUGUUUAGUAAACCACUGUUUAUUAAUGAAAAAAAAAGCAAUUUAUGUUUUGUUUCUUUUACCCUUGCUGUACUGAAACCGUAAUGAACCGUGACUUGAAAAUCAACGUACAUACUGAACCGUGAUUUAUGUGUACUGUUGCACCCCUACUCGCUACACGUGUUUUGGCUGUGGAAGAAAACCACCAACCUCCAGCCUUAGAAGAAAGAUAUAAUAAUACUACAGACUAAGCUCCAAUGCUACCCAAAUAAAAAGAAUAAGCCUCUGAAUUUCAUUGCAAUGCUUGAAAGAUCAUUAAAACACACUUCUUAAGUGAAUGAAGAAGUAAAGGAAUAUAUAUUUAGUGUGUGUACAGACACACACACACACACACACACACACACCUGUACUCAUACCUUUGUGGGCACUGUACACACAUUUAUUUCUAUGGUCAACAACGACCAU